GCCCCUGUAGCACAAUGGAUAGUGUGUUGGACUUCUAAUCCAAAGGUCCUGGGUUCGAAUCCUACCUGGGAUG
rnacentral:tRNA from 1 species